rnacentral:ncRNA from 2 species
CUACACUGGCGCCGCUUCGGUGCAUGCGUGCGAGACCUUGUCGCACGCAGUUAAACGGGAAGCAGGAAGCCGCCGAUCCGGACGAGCCAACCUGCGCUGCCCCCGCAACGGUAAGCGACCGCGUCGAUCGCGCAUCGAUCACGACGCGAACCACCCCUUUGGAUCGGCCUUCCCUCGCGCUCGCGCGACCGCGCACGGAUGGCCGGGGCCACUGCGCUCGCGCGCGGGAAGGCGGGGCCGGUGGUCGCCAGCCCGGAUACCGGCCGGAGUGGGGAAGCGUGU